ensembl:lncRNA
AUAACGAGGGACAGACAGGAGGGGACGAUAACUAAUCAAACACAGGUGAACUGAAUUAACUAAUCAAAGGACGACAGACACUAAAUGAAAACACAAAAGAAGUCCAUAGGUGCUUCUCAGUAUCCCUCCUCAUUUCCUCGCUCCUCCGUCCUCUAUCCUGUGACCAGGAAACCAAUCGAGCUCAGCCGUUUUGUAGGACAUCUCAAUUCUCUAAUUGCACUGCGAGGAGUGAGGAGGCUUCCAGAGGAGCUAUGAGCGAGGAUACACAGCUGUAUCCUGUGGGGAAGUGUUUUAUCGACUAAACGUGACACAAGUAUCAAUUCUCCACCCCUGCACAAACCAUGGCAGAAAAUACAAACACACAUAAAUCUCCUGAGACGAUCUGCUAUUGCUCCUGGGAUCCGUGGAAAACAAGCACUCACCAGCCAUUAAAUAAUACAGCCGGGACCAAGACCAGAAUGAAAGAGACGUCCAUCAGACCGGCAGAGCAGGAAUAAUCAAGGCCUUUGACUCUCCUAACCACGCUUCUUGAGAUCCAAUGCAAACUCAUCAAAGGGCAUGUUUUAUGGACAGCUCACUUUUAGCCCCCAAAAAUAAUGAAUGCAUUUGAUCCGACAUGAAAGAGACAGGAGGCUGGCUCUUCUGCUGGCAGACAGCAGACAGAUAAUUAAUAAUCAAAUUAAAGAAGACUUUCCACCACCCCACCAUCCACAGUUGUAUGUUAACACAAAGCAGUC